rnacentral:tRNA from 1 species
UCUAAUAUAGUAUAUAAAGUACUUAAAGUUUAAGCCUUUACGGUAGAUUUUCUUAUUAGAA